rnacentral:rRNA from 1 species
GACGAACGCUGGCGGCGUGCUUAACACAUGCAAGUCGAACGGAAAGGCCCCUUUGGGGGUACUCGAGUGGCGAACGGGUGAGUAACACGUGAGUAACCUGCCCUUGACUUCGGGAUAACUUCAGGAAACUGGGGCUAAUACCGGAUAGGAAUCCUUGCUGCAUGGUGGGGGUUGGAAAGCUUCGGCGGUUUUGGAUGGACUCGCGGCUUAUCAGCUUGUUGGUGGGGUAGUGGCUUACCAAGGCUUUGACGGGUAGCCGGCCUGAGAGGGCGACCGGCCACAUUGGGACUGAGAUACGGCCCAGACUCCUACGGGAGGCAGCAGUGGGGAAUAUUGCACAAUGGGCGGAAGCCUGAUGCAGCAACGCCGCGUGCGGGAUGACGGCCUUCGGGUUGUAAACCGCUUUCAGCAGGGGCGAAGCUUGUGGUGACGGUACCUCAGAAGAAGCACCGGCUAACUACGUG